rnacentral:rRNA from 1 species
CCUACGGGUGGCUGCAGUUAGGAAUUUUGCGCAAUGGGCGAAAGCCUGACGCAGCAACGCCGCGUGAGUGAUGAAGGCCUUCGGGUUGUAAAGCUCUUUUAGUUGGGAAAAACACAAUGAUGGUACCAACAGAAACAGCACCGGCUAACUCUGUGCCAGCAGCCGCGGUAAUACAGAGGGUGCAAGCGUUAUUCGGAAGUAUUGGGCAUAAAGCGCAUGUAGGUGGUUUGAUAAGUCUGAUGUGAAAUCCCAGGACUCAAUUCGGGAAGUGCAGUGGAGACUGUCAGGCUAGAGUAUGGGAGAGGUGAGCGGAAUUCCAGGUGUAGAGGUGAAAUUCGUAGAUAUCUGGAGGAACAACAGAGGCGAAGGCGGCUCACUGGACCAUUACUGACACUGAGAUGCGAAAGCGUGGGGAGCAAACAGGAUUAGAUACCCCAGUAGUC